rnacentral:rRNA from 1 species
AGAGUUUGAUCCUGGCUCAGGAUGAACGCUAGCUACAGGCUUAACACAUGCAAGUCGAGGGGAAACGAUGAGAGAGCUUGCUCUCUUAGGCGUCGACCGGCGCACGGGUGAGUAACGCGUAUCCAACCUGCCCAUUACAGGGGAAUAACCUUGCGAAAGUAAGACUAAUGCCCCAUGGUAUUCUCAGCAGACAUCUAAUGAGGAUUAAAGAUUUAUCGGUAAUGGAUGGGGAUGCGUCUGAUUAGCUUGUUGGCGGGGUAACGGCCCACCAAGGCAACGAUCAGUAGGGGUUCUGAGAGGAAGGUCCCCCACAUUGGAACUGAGACACGGUCCAAACUCCUACGGGAGGCAGCAGUGAGGAAUAUUGGUCAAUGGACGGAAGUCUGAACCAGCCAAGUAGCGUGCAGGAUGACGGCCCUAUGGGUUGUAAACUGCUUUUAUGCAAGAAUAACUUAGCUCACGUGUGGGUUAUUGCAGGUAUUGCAUGAAUAAGGACCGGCUAAUUCCGUGCCAGCAGCCGCGGUAAUACGGAAGGUCCGGGCGUUAUCCGGAUUUAUUGGGUUUAAAGGGAGCGUAGGCCGCGCCUUAAGCGUGUUGUGAAAUCCGGGUGCUCAACAUCCGGCUUGCAGCGCGAACUGGGGCGCUUGAGUGCGCUGAAAGUAGGCGGAAUUCGUGGUGUAGCGGUGAAAUGCUUAGAUAUCACGAAGAACUCCGAUUGCGAAGGCAGCUUACUGCAGCUUAACUGACGCUGAUGCUCGAAAGCGUGGGUAUCGAACAGGAUUAGAUACCCUGGUAGUCCACGCGGUAAACGAUGGAUGCUCGUUGUCGGCCCUUCGGGUCGGUGACCAAGCGAAAGCGUUAAGCAUCCCACCUGGGGAGUACGCCGGCAACGGUGAAACUCAAAGGAAUUGACGGGGGCCCG